rfam:Ictidomys tridecemlineatus contig027373, whole genome shotgun sequence.
GGGGAUGUGGCUCAACUGGUAGUGCACUCGCCUGGAGUGCGUGCGGCCCGGGUUCGAUCCCCAGCACCA